rnacentral:ncRNA from 2 species
AAAUUAAUCAAGAAUAAUUUUCGUAUAACUCCAAUAAUAUGGUUUGGAGGUCUCUACCAGGAACCGAAAUUCCUGCUUACGAAGAAGAUGCAUGUGGUG